UACAGAGGGUGCGAGCGUUGUCCGGAAUCACUGGGCGUAAAGGGCGCGUAGGUGGCGGCAUAAGGCCGCGGUGAAAGUUCGGGGCUCAACCCUGAAUCGGCCGCGGCGACUGUGUUGCUAGGGCACCGUAGAGGCAGAUGGAAUUCCGGGUGUAGCGGUGGAAUGCGUAGAGAUCCGGAAGAACACCAGUGGCGAAGGCGGUCUGCUGGGCGGUGGGUCCGCGAGGAUCCAAUAGCCGACACUGAGGCGCGACAGCGUGGGGAGCAACGGG
rnacentral:rRNA from 1 species